UAUUUAUAGAGAAUUUGCCUAUAGAUAAUUCCUUCUGGCAGUCCUAUGUAAAGAUGAUCUCCAUCACAGACCUGAUGAUGACUUAACCAUAUUUUGCCAUGUAUAAUGUGCACCCACAUUUUUGGCCCAAAAUUUCAGAAAAAAAAAUCUUUCAUUUUAAUUAAUUAAUUAAUUAAUAUUUAGUAGCAAAACCUAUUAUCAUAUUACAGGGUAUUAUUUUUCAUACAGAUAUCAUUAUUGCUUUCCAGAGUUACACUUUUAAUGUAUAAGCAUAAAUAAAAAUUAAAAACAUUUACAUAGGUACAGAAUUGGUACUAUCCAUUUAUAAUGCACAUCCUUAUUUUCCCCUCAAUAAUUUGGGCAAAAAAAUGGAUGUAUUACA